rnacentral:misc_RNA from 1 species
UAGGACCAGCACCUCUUUUUUUUUCGCAUUUCUUCACCGCGGCGAUGGCCUCUGAAGAGCAGCCUCGAUGGACGCGGCUACCGAUCCGGACGCGUCCGCAUCGGAACCCGCUCGCCGAGAAUGACGACGAGCACCCGGAGUGCCCGGCACAGUUCGAGAAGCGCUUCUCGGAGUUCUACCCUGGUAUGGCCAACCCAGUAGUUGAGUUCGUCGACGUCGGUUGCGCAUUCGGGGGCAUGCUCUUCUCGCUGGCGGCGGUGUUCCCCACAACGUGCAUGAUGGGGCUCGAGAUUCGGCCUAAGGUGGUCAGCUUUGCACAGGAGAAGGCACUGGCGCUGCGCCAGGAGAACGCGGCGUCCUUGACGCAGCACUAUCGCAAUGUCUGGUUCGAGCAAAUGAAUGUGAUGAAGUUUGGGUCCAACUGCUUUACGAAAGGCCAGCUGUCUCGUCUGUUCUUCUGUUACCCGGACCCGCACUGGAAGCGCAAGAACAUCCGCCGCCGCAUCAUUUCACCGGGCUUGGUGCAAGAGUACGCGUACUGGCUGCGCCACGGUGGUCUAGUGUACACCGUCUCGGAUGUAGCUGAGCUGGAAGAGUGGAUGGUACGGUGUCUCGACGACUCGCCACUGUUUCGCCGUUUGGCGGAGGCCGAGCUCAGAACGCCCGAGCAUAAACAGGUCCUCGAUAUUGUGACCGGUGCCAGCGAGGAUGCACAGCGCACGGCGCGCAAGGGCCUGCAGAAGCACUUCGCCGUGCACAUGCGCAUCUAAGCUGGCAUUCAACUCCAGCGUGUGUGUCCGUGCCUGUAUGUGCGGAUUGUGUUGAACUGUGGUAUGUUUUCCGUCGAGUAAGAUGAUAAUCGUUUUUUGCAUUCAUAAGCGUGGCUGCCGUUCCGAUCUGCUGCACAGGUCGAGCAAGGCCCCCUCCGAGCAGCUGUACCUACACAAACGACCGCCCGUGAGUCUUAGCAGUUGGUUAUCUCUGUAAAAGAUCCCCUGCUUUGGGGUGGGUGGGUGGGUGCUCACCAUGCGCGAAAGCCGCGUAAAGAGUGAUGCCUGAACCAGCUCUAACGCUUCCGUUUAGCUUCUUCUGCGCACGCCUUCCUGUGCCGAGCAGAUGAUGUGUUAGCGGCCUCUCCACUCCGCCUACCCACCCACACACGCGAUGCCGCCCACUCUUCCCACUCAUACGCCUCCGCCUCCGCGCUACCAUCGUACGGUGCCUUUUUCUCCCCAUUCCCGACUGUUGUGUUGCGCGCCAUCGGUUCUCUUCUGUCACACGCAG